rnacentral:tRNA from 1 species
GGAAAAGUCGCCAUAGGUAAGGCAAGAUAUUUGCUAAAUAUUGUGUUUAUGCACCUGGAUGUUCAAAUCAUCUCUUUUCCG